AUGUUAAACGGCUUCAGCUUCAGCUUCAGUUUCAGCUUCAGUUUCAGCUUCAGUUUCAGCUUCAGCUUCAGCUCCAGUUUCAGCUUCAGUUUCAGCUUCAGCUCCAGCUUUAGCUUCAGCUUUAGCUUCAGCUCCAGCUUCAGCUCUAGCUUUGGCUUCAGCUUCACCUUCAGCUUCAGUUUCAGCUUCAGCUCCAGUUUCAGCUUCAGUUUCAGCUUCAGUUUCAGCUUCAGCUUCAGUUUCAGCAUCAGCUCCAGCUUCAGCUUUAGCUUCAGCUCCACCUUCAGUUUCAGCUUCAGUUUCAGCUCCAGCUUCAGCUUCAGUUUCAGCUUCAGUUUCAGCUUCAGCUCCAGUUUCAGCUUCAGCUCCAGCUUCAGUUUCAGCUUUAGUUUCAGCUCCAGUUUCAGCUUCAGCGUCAGCUCCAGCUUCAGCUCCAGCUUCAGCUCCAGCUUCAGCUUCAGCUCCACCUUCAGUUUCAGCUUCAGUUUCAGCUUCAGCUCCAGCUUCAGUUUCAGCUUUAGCUUCAGUUUCAGCUUCAGUUUCAGCUUCAGCUCCAGUUUCAGCUUCAGUUUCAGCUUCAGUUUCAGCUCCAGUUUCAGCUCCAGUUUCAGCUUCAGCUCCAGUUUCAGCUUCAGUUUCAGCUCCAGCUUCAGCUUCAGUUUCAGCUUCAGUUUCAGCUUCAGCUCCAGUUUCAGCUUCAGCUCCAGCUUCAGUUUCAGCUUUAGUUUCAGCUCCAGUUUCAGCUUCAGCGUCAGCUCCAGCUUCAGCUCCAGCUUCAGCUCCAGCUUCAGCUUCAGCUCCACCUUCAGUUUCAGCUUCAGUUUCAGCUUCAGCUCCAGCUUCAGUUUCAGCUUUAGCUUCAGUUUCAGCUUCAGUUUCAGCUUCAGCUCCAGUUUCAGCUUCAGUUUCAGCUUCAGUUUCAGCUCCAGUUUCAGCUCCAGUUUCAGCUUCAGCUCCAGUUUCAGCUUCAGUUUCAGCUUCAGUUUCAGCUUCAGUUUCAGCUUCAGCUCCAGUUUCAGCUUCAGUUUCAGCUUCAGUUUCAGCUCCAGUUUCAGCUUCAGCUCCAGUUUCAGCUCCAGCUUCAGCUCCAGCUUCAGCUCCAGGUCCAGCUUCAGUUUCAGCUUCAGCUCCAGUUUCAGCUUCAGCUCCAGCGGCUGA
rnacentral:lncRNA from 1 species